CAGUCGCCGCGGUAAUACGUAGGUGGCAAGCGUUGUCCGGAAUUAUUGGGCGUAAAGGGCUCGCAGGCGGUUUCUUAAGUCUGAUGUGAAAGCCCCCGGCUCAACCGGGGAGGGUCAUAGGAAACUGGGAAACUUGAGUGCAGAAGAGGAGAGUGGAAUUCCACGUGUAGCGGUGAAAUGCGUAGAGAUGUGGAGGAACACCAGUGGCGAAGGCGGCUCUCUGGUCUGUAACUGACGCUGAGGAGCGAAAGCGUGGGGAGCGAACAGGAUUAGAUACCCCAGUAGUCCCUGUCUCUUAUAC
rnacentral:rRNA from 1 species